UACGGGGGGAGCAAGCGUUGUUCGGAUUUACUGGGCGUAAAGGGCGCGUAGGCGGCCACCGCAAGUCAGUUGUGAAAGCUCUGGGCUUAACCCAGAAAGGUCAACUGAUACUGCGGGGCUAGAGUGCAGAAGGGGCAACUGGAAUUCUCGGUGUAGCGGUGAAAUGCGUAGAUAUCGAGAGGAACACCUGCGGCGAAGGCGGGUUGCUGGGCUGACACUGACGCUGAAGUGCGAAAGCUAGGUGAGCGAACGGG
rnacentral:rRNA from 1 species